rnacentral:rRNA from 1 species
UACGUAGGGGGCAAGCGUUGUCCGGAAUUAUUGGGCGUAAAGAGCGUGUAGGCGGUCCGGUAAGUCAGCUGUGAAAGUCAAGGGCUCAACCCUUGAAUGCCGGUUGAUACUGUCGGGCUAGAGUCCGGAAGAGGCGAGUGGAAUUCCCGGUGUAGCGGUGAAAUGCGCAGAUAUCAGGAGGAACACCAGUGGCGAAGGCGCCGCUCUGGGCCGAGACUGACGCUGAGGAGCGAAAGCGUGGGUAGCAAACAGG